rnacentral:lncRNA from 1 species
GUAUGUAACCUUACAAUUUUGGAGGGCUGUCACUGGAAAGUCUUUUCUAAGUGUAUAUUUUUUUAUAUAAAGAGACUUAUAGCAGUAACUAAAGGGAAAUAAAACACCACAAAAUCCUAUUGGAGACAUCGCAAACAUUUUGAAUUCCAUUAUUUGUCAUUAUUCCCUGAAGAUUUGUCUGCAUGAAAGGCAGUCUUCUGAGAUUUGUCAUGAAUGGCCAUUACAGUUCCUGCAAUGUUUAUAUGAUCAUAUACAGAGAGCCAAAUUUCUACGUAGUUUAUUUUCACACCUGUAUAUAUGUACAUAUGCCUGUAAGCAGCACAGAUCAGAUUAUGCCAGCUAAUGGCUUUAUCUGGACCAAAACCCAUAGAGAAAUCCAUCAGAGUUUGAAAUGCAGAUGGGAAAACAGAAUACACUGA